AUUGAACGCUGGCGGCAUGCCUUACACAUGCAAGUCGAACGGCAGCGGGGGAGAAGCUUGCUUUUCCUGCCGGCGAGUGGCGAACGGGUGAGUAAUACAUCGGAACGUGCCCUGUAGUGGGGGAUAACUAGUCGAAAGAUUAGCUAAUACCGCAUACGACCUGAGGGUGAAAGUGGGGGACCGCAAGGCCUAAUGCUAUAGGAGCGGCCGAUGUCUGAUUAGCUAGUUGGUGGGGUAAAGGCCUACCAAGGCGACGAUCAGUAGCUGGGCUGAGAGGACGAGCAGCCACACUGGGAAUGAGACACGGCCCAGACUCCUACGGGAGGCAGCAGUGGGGAAUUUUGGACAAUGGGUGAAAGCCUGAUCCAGCAAUGCCGCGUGUGUGAAGAAGGCCUUCGGGUUGUAAAGCACUUUUGUCCGGAAAGAAAUGGCUCUGGUUAAUACCUGGGGUCGAUGACGGUACCGGAAGAAUAAGGACCGGCUAACUACGUGCCAGCCGCCGCCGUAA
rnacentral:rRNA from 1 species